rnacentral:rRNA from 1 species
CAGUCGCCGCGGUAAUACGAAGGGUGCAAGCGUUACUCGGAAUUACUGGGCGUAAAGCGUGCGUAGGUGGUGGUUUAAGUCCGUUGUGAAAGCCCUGGGCUCAACCUGGGAAUUGCAGUGGAUACUGGGUCACUAGAGUGUGGUAGAGGAUAGUGGAAUUUCCGGUGUAGCAGUGAAAUGCGUAGAGAUCGGAAGGAACAUCUGUGGCGAAGGCGACUAUCUGGCCUAAUACUGACGCUGAGGUACGAAAGCAUGGGGAGCAAACAGGAUUAGAUACCCGUGUAGUCCCUGUCUCUUAUAA